UUCUUACUGGGCUGUAAAGCUCAUCCCCUUUUCUUCUUUCUUUUUAUCAGAGUUGCAGGAUGCUUAGAUUUGGAUGGGAUGGGCGCAGAGUGCAAGUAUCAGAGUCAUUAGCUAGUUAGUUUGUUUGUCCUUCUUUGAUGUCGAUUAACAUUUGAAGAUCUUGUAAUUGAACUAAUUUGUUUAUUUGGACAUGUCGGACUGCUCUGUUUGAAUUACUAGAUUAGUUGUGGAUUUAUUGGAAUUUUUGUUAAUCAUAGGCCUUGCAUGAUCUUUAGGGCACUGCUCUAGGGCUCAUGCGGCCGGUCGC
rnacentral:lncRNA from 1 species